rnacentral:rRNA from 1 species
UACGUAGGGUGCGAGCGUUGUCCGGAAUUAUUGGGCGUAAAGGGCGCGUAGGCGGCGACUAAAGUCAGAUGUGAAAUCCCUGGGCUCAACCCAGGAAGUGCAUCUGAUACUGAGUUGCUUGAGUGCUGGAGAGGGUGGUGGAAUUCCUGGUGUAGAGGUGAAAUUCGUAGAUAUCAGGAGGAACACCGGUGGCGAAGGCGACCACCUGGACAGACACUGACGCUGAGGCGCGAAAGCGUGGGGAGCAAGCAGG